rnacentral:hammerhead_ribozyme from 1 species
ACACUGCUGAAGAGUCCCACAAUAGGACGAAGCAGCCGUCCAGUGC